UUGAAUGUCGCUAUGGGUGAA
ensembl:piRNA 21ur-3600 ncRNA